GCGGCAGGCCUAAUACAUGCAAGUCGAACGGUAGACAGUAGCAAUAUUGUUGAGAGUGGCGCACGGGUGCGUAACGCGUAUGCAACCUACCUCCCUGCGGGGGAUAGCCUGGAGAAAUUCAGAUUAAUACCGCAUAACAUUAUGAUACGGCAUCGUAUUAUAAUUAAAGGAUUUAUUCACAGGGAGAUGGGCAUGCGUGCCAUUAGUUAGAUGGAGAGGUAACGGCUCCCCAUGACUACGAUGGCUAACUGGUCUGAGAGGAUGAUCAGUCACACUGGCACUGAGACACGGGCCAGACUCCUACGGGAGGCAGCAGUAGGGAAUAUUGGUCAAUGGACGCAAGUCUGAACCAGCCAUGCCGCGUGCAGGAAGAAGGUCCUCUGGAUUGUAAACUGCUUUUGUCCGGGAAUAAAUCUAUCUUAAUAGGUAGUUGAAGGUACCGGAAGAAUAAGCACCGGCUAACUCCGUGCCAGCAGCCGCGGUAAUACGGAGGGUGCAAGCGUUGUCCGGAUUUAUUGGGUUUAAAGGGUGCGUAGGCGGCCUUUUAAGUCAGUGGUGAAAGACGGUGGCUCAACCAUCGCAGUGCCAUUGAUACUGAAAGGCUUGAGUACAGUUGAGGUAGUUGGAAUGAGUAGUGUAGCGGUGAAAUGCAUAGAUAUUACUCAGAACACCGAUUGCGAAGGCAGAUUACUAAACUGGAACUGACGCUGAGGCACGAAAGCGUGGGGGAUCAAACAGGAUUAGGAUACCCUGGU
rnacentral:rRNA from 1 species